GGCUCCUUGAAGAAGGAUUGGUGUUUUUAUUCCUAUUUUUCCAAUCAAUUUGAAAGGAUUUGUUAAAUUUGCUAGGAGAAGAAAUUAACACGUCAUCCAACAAGCUGACUGAGUCAAUUUCUGGGGAGGUCCCUAGCAGCAGAGGGAGUGUCAUCAAAGUUUUGACAGACUCAGUCCAAUCACAGGC